UAAUUAGAAUACAGUCAGCAGCUGACAGAAUCCACACAUUGGUUUCCUUACCUAUGGAGUGAGGGCUAUUAUGGUGGAAAGGGCCAAGUAGAAGCCACUAGAACUAUCUGUACUUAGGAAAAUAGUAAACCAAAAGCAAUGCUCAAUUCCUAUAGGGACUGAAGAGAUUAGUGCCACCAUAAGUACUUGAAGGAAGGCGGGGUGGUGAUUCCUACCAUAUCUCCAUUCAACUCGCCUAUUUAGCCUGGGCAGAAGACAGAUGGAUUAUCACAAACUUAACUAGGUGGUGACUCCAAUUGCAGCUACAGUACCAGAUGUAUUGCUUGAGCAAAUUAACACAACUCCUGGUUCCUGGUAUGCAGCUACCUGGAACUGACUUCACCUGCAACAGAGCUUGGAGAAGCUGAAGCCUAAGGGUGCUCUAAAGCAGGGGUCCCCAACCUCCGGGCUACAGACCAAUACCCAUCCAAGGCCUGUUAGGAACCCGGCUGCAGAGCAGGAGG
rnacentral:lncRNA from 1 species